CAAUGAAGCGGGUCUUUCCUACGCUAAAAACCACUGAGUGGAGUACUUAGUACACAGGAAGUCGGCCAGAGAAACAUUUCUCAUAUUUGAAGGCCGGAAAGAGGGACAUUUCUGACACCGGAAGUCAGUGAGAGGACUCUUUCCCACACAGGAAGUCAGCUAGAGAGCCGUCUCCCCUCUCUGGAGCCGAGAGAGGCCGGUUUCCCCCAUCAUAGCAGGGCCAGGAGAAAGGGAUGGGGAGAGUCCCUCCUGCCACUGACCCAGGAUGGAUAAAAGUACCCCUUUCAUAGAAGGAAGAAAAUGGGAACAAAGGUGCUGCUGAUCAUCUGAGGUUGCCUGCAUGGCAGUUAAGAACUUGGACCUUUGGGUAGCCCACCUGGGAGGAAUUUUCCAGAGAUCACUGUCUGAUGGCCCUGUCUUGGAAUUGGAGCCAUGCAAGUUACACUCACCACGUUUGGGUUGGGAUAUUGAGGAGGUUAUGGUUAAAAGCAUACGAUGGGAGAUCAUAUUGUACUUGCGAGUGAGACCCGGCUGGAGGAAUGUUUUAAUUCUUCGGAAAUACCAAGUGGUCUCUGUCUCACAUGAGUACUUCACAAUGGGGAAACUGAACUGGAACUCUACUGACAAUGCAGCUGGGAGUUCAAACUUAAUAACCUUC
rnacentral:lncRNA from 1 species